UUCUUGACAGCCGCUCUAUGAGCAUGUGGCCAAUUAAAUUACUGCAUUUGUCGAUGGUGUUGGACGGUUAGUGUGUGAGGUUGAAAAGGUUGUGGAGAACACUUAAAAAUAUGCAAAAAAAAAAAAGUAAUUGCCUAAAGAAUGUGAGCGAUUGUUAUGAGGGUAUAAAAUAGCUUAGCUGAGAGUUUUUAGAUUCGAAGAAAAGAAUGGAAGACAGCAAGGCGAAACGGCAAUCAGACUGGGCUGCAAGGAAAACUGUCGCCAUAAGCGGACAAAUGAAA